rnacentral:rRNA from 1 species
GUGACGAGCGGCGGACGGGUGAGUAAUGUCUGGGAAACUGCCUGAUGGAGGGGGAUAACUACUGGAAACGGUAGCUAAUACCGCAUAACGUCGCAAGACCAAAGAGGGGGACCUUCGGGCCUCUUGCCAUCAGAUGUGCCCAGAUGGGAUUAGCUAGUAGGUGGGGUAACGGCUCACCUAGGCGACGAUCCCUAGCUGGUCUGAGAGGAUGACCAGCCACACUGGAACUGAGACACGGUCCAGACUCCUACGGGAGGCAGCAGUGGGGAAUAUUGCACAAUGGGCGCAAGCCUGAUGCAGCCAUGCCGCGUGUAUGAAGAAGGCCUUCGGGUUGUAAAGUACUUUCAGCGGGGAGGAAGGCGAUGAGGUUAAUAACCUCGUCGAUUGACGUUACCCGCAGAAGAAGCACCGGCUAACUCCGUGCCAGCAGCCGCGGUAAUACGGAGGGUGCAAGCGUUAAUCGGAAUUACUGGGCGUAAAGCGCACGCAGGCGGUCUGUCAAGUCGGAUGUGAAAUCCCCGGGCUCAACCUGGGAACUGCAUUCGAAACUGGCAGGCUAGAGUCUUGUAGAGGGGGGUAGAAUUCCAGGUGUAGCGGUGAAAUGCGUAGAGAUCUGGAGGAAUACC